UCCUUGAUGAUAGACCCUCUCGUUUUUUCGCAUGUGCUAAUAUAUACAAGUCAAAAUUUAAAAUUUUAAGUAUAGAUUCAGAGUUGAUUUUGAGAAUUUUUACUGGACUUUAUUUUCUAGCCUUGAUACGUGCGUAAAAGUUUUAUUUAUAAAUUAUUUUUUAUCUGUAAAUAUGUUGCGGAAAACUAAACUAUAUCACCCACGUUUACACACUACCACACGACACAUGCGAAACGC
rnacentral:lncRNA from 1 species